GGGAUUGGGUACACCUGUCACAAAUUAGCUCCAGUCCCUAACUGACAAGGUUGAAGCUUAAGGGGACUUCUCAGUACACAAAUUGAUGCUUUUUUCGUUUCCUCGCUCCUCCGUCCUCCAGCCCGUGACCCGGAAAUCGAUCGAAGUCAACCAUCUUGAAGGACAUCUCAGUUCUCUAAUUGCACCGCGAGGAGGCGAGGAACAAGAAGUGAGGAAGCUUCCAGAGGAGCUAGGAGCCAGAACACACAGAUAAAAGAAAUUAAACCUUAUGCAAGCACUGGCUUACUCACAAAUGAAAACAUAGUACAGAUUGUUUUUCCGAGUCAUGAUGGCCAUCGCAAUGUACAACAGCCUGAAGAGAAAUCGUUUCAGUGCAGCUAUGAAGGAUGUGGCAAACUUUACACCACAGCAUAUCACCUCAAGGAGUACAUGGAAGAGUACACACAGGUGACAAGCCUUACUGCUGUGACAAACCUGGCUGUGGAAAAAAAGUUUGCAACAGGGCAAUAAUUAAGAAGUUCCAGUCAACUGGAAAUGUUAUGAAUCAACCUGGAAUUGCACGUGUGUCUAUAUCGUCUCAACGCACUGUGAUGAGGACGGUUCAAGUCGCCAAAACCAGGCCGGUAUCAUUAACUUCAAUAGUUCAUUACUUUGAGAAAAUGGUUCAAAACAUUAUGCUUCCAUAUGUUUCACCCUUUUUGGAUUGCCUCCAAUUUGCAUAUAAGUGGAAGAGAGGUACAGAGGAUACAGUGGCUUGUCUCUUCCACGGACUUCUUCAACACCUGGAUAUUCCCGGAAAUUAUGCCAGACUUCUUUUCAUUGACUUUAGCUCCGCCUUUUUGUGAAUUCAGCAUCAUCUGCUAAUCAAGAAACUACAGUGUCUGCAAAUUCAAUCGCCACUAGUACAGUGGAUUUUAUAAUUUCCUUUCUAAAGACCACAAGUGGUAAAGGUGGACAAUGCAUUAUCGCCCAUUACUGUUCUCAACACUGGUGCCCCUCAGGGGUGUGUACUUAAUUCACUUCUCUAUACAAAUGACUGUCAAGAGUCCAGUCACCACCACUCAUUACUUUAAGUAUGCAGAUGAUACUGACAUUCUUGCAUUGCUUAAUAAAGACAAUGAGUCUUUUUUUUGGACUAUGAACGCUCCAUAGCACAUUUUAGUACAUGGUGUGAUGAUAACUUUCUCCACCUUAAUAUCAAAAAGGCUAAGGAACUGGUUUUUAGCUCUUCCAAAACACUGACCCAUCCUUCCAGUAUUAUCAUUAGCGGAGAGAUGGUUCAAUCAGCACACUCUAUGUAUUAACAAGUGCUGUCAACAGAAACUAACAAGUUAUUUGUAAACUUAAAUAUCUGUCUGUUUAGCCUAGUCUGCUUCUUCUUCUGUAUCAAAGUAUUAUUGAGCCGGUUCUUAUGUAUGGUGCCAUUUUGUUUUUUCCAUAUGCUAACAGUUACCAGUAAGAACAAACUCUUGAAGAUAACUAAUUUAUCGAGGAAAAAUUAUUGGUAUUCCCACCCCCAAUUGAUCGGACUGUGUCGUUUCAUAUAUGUUCCGGAAAGCACAUAAAAUUUUAAAUGAUCCAGACCACCCACUUUAUCAAUAUUUCAACCCCCUUCCUUCUGGCCACAGGUAUAGACUACCCAUGUGCAGAAAGGUCAACUAUGGUAGGAGUUUUGUUCCUAUGGCAAUACAAGCGUUAAACACAUAGCUAAUCAGCCAUUGUGAUGCCAUCUUAUGCUCGGGCAUUUGUUGUAUGAUCCUGAUGUUUUCUUUUUGUUCCCUUCUCUCCUCUAUGCCUGUGAUUGUUUACGAUGGUUAAUGUGUAUGGUGUUGUUGUGUUUGUUUUUCUACACACCCACAGUGGAAACAAAUUUCCUAUAAUUUCCAAAUAAAU